UUCAGUACUGCAAAUUUCUACUGGAGUCCUUUUCUCCUCUCAUCGAGCCUCUCUUCUUCCAUCUCAUCCAACCCCUCUUCUUACCUCUUCAGCUCUUGUUUGUCGCUUUCAUCGAGUCCCUCUUCUUCCCUCUCAAGCUAUUAUUUUUCCUUCUCAUUAAGCCAUUGUUCUUCGGCCCUUCUUCUCUAGCCUCCAUUAAAACCCUAACGCCUCUUUCGCGUUACCCUCUCCUCAAACCCUAACCUCCACCCCAUGCUCUACUACAAGGUUGACGGGAUUGGAGACCGCUCCACCAGUCAUGCCUACUUGUUGGCUCUCCCCUUGAACCCUAACUCAUUCUCAGACUCACGUGGAGAUGGCUGGAAUGGUAGCGUCGAAGUCUCGUGCUCACUGGCUAAAGUUUUCUCCCUCACACUCGCUCACGGUCACUGGUAGAGAAGAAGAAUGUCUCACACUAACCGUUCUUCUCGUUCACGCUCACUCAAAGAGAAGAAGUUCGUCCAUUCUUCUCACGUUCACUCACCUUGUUGGACAUCAUGCUCACUUGGGAGUGUUAUUCGUUCAAUCGAAUGGUCUGUUGUGGGGUUCACCGAAUAGAUUCCCUUGUUCUUCAAAAUGUAGUUGAUUUGAUGAAUAGAGCUUCCGAAAUGUGAAAGACGGUGAUGGACUUAUUCCUUCCCUUCUUAAUGAUGGAGUAAUGGAUCCAACCAUUUCAAAGCAUUUUUGAAUGAACUCUGGGGAGAUGCUGGUUUCUCAAGUCAAAUUUGCAUUUCUAUCUCGAUUAGAAAUAACCAUUUUAUUCAUACCAGGUAGAAAUAUCACUUUGAUUUUUUAAAUGAUUGUUUGGUGACAUGUUCCAAGUUCAACUUAAACAUUUCCUGGGAGUUACAAAUUAGUUCGUUCUCCUCUUGUCUCAAUGGGAAAUGAAACAUUUCCUAAGUCAGCCAUAUAAUACUAACCAGAAGCAAAGUUCUACGAGGCCCAGGCUCGAUGGGAAAGCCAAGACUGCUAAGCUUGUCAGAAAAACUGAACAUAAACUAUUUUUAAGACAACACUCUGCUUCAAUCAAUGAAUUCAACACAAUCCUUCAAAAAGUUCAAAAAUGUCCAUUUCUUUGUCAACAUAUUUCUCUAGUUGAUGUUGGUGGUGGAACUGGAGCUAUAAUAAACAUGAUAGUCUCAAAAGUAUCCCAAUAUCAAGGGUAUUAAUUUUGAUUUACCCCAUGUCAUCGAAGAUGCCCCAUUUUGAUUUAGCAAUGGUUUCCUGACAUCAAAUUUCACAUUGCUAUUUUUCUGUAGCAGUUUCCUGACAUCAAAUUUCACACUGACAUUUUUGUUAGUGUUCCAAAAGCCGACACUAUUUUUAUGAAGUAUGUUUGAGUGCAGUAUGUUUGAGUGCAAUUCAGAUGUGAUUAUGAAGCUUAGAUGACUAUAUGAACUUACGAGAUUAUUAAUGCAAGUUGGCUGAGAAAACAUCAAUUAAUCAGGGAAGAGAAAACAACAAAGAAGAAAGGAGUUUUCGUGAGAGUUUUGGUGUGCAUCCGUUCGAGAGGCUGAGAAAGCAAGAUAAACAUGAGGCUUAAUGCAGCAAGGAAGGGAGGAAACUUAAGAGAAUAAUAGAACUUUGAUACUUUGUAUAAAUAUAUAUUACACUUUUAACUAUACAUUUUAAUUAUGUUAGUUAUUUGAAGUUA